rnacentral:rRNA from 1 species
GGCUCACCAAGGCAAUGAUCGGUAGCUGGUCUGAGAGGAUGAUCAGCCACACUGGAACUGAGACACGGUCCAGACUCCUACGGGAGGCAGCAGUGGGGAAUCUUGCACAAUGGGCGAAAGCCUGAUGCAGCGACGCCGCGUGGGGGAUGAAGCUUUUCGGAGUGUAAACGCCUUUCGACUGGGACGAAAACCCGCAAGGGAUUGACGGUACCAGUAUAAGAAGCCCCGGCUAACUACGUGCCAGCAGCCGCGGUAAGACGUAGGGGGCCAGCGUUGUUCGGAAUUACUGGGUGUAAAGGGUUCGUAGGCGGUGCGGCAAGUUGGGAGUGAAAUCUCUGGGCUUAACCCAGAGGCUGCUUCCAAAACUGCUGUGCUUGAGUGUGAGAGAGGCUCGUGGAAUUGCAGGUGUAGCGGUGAAAUGCGUAGAUAUCUGCAGGAACACCCGUGGCGAAAGCGGCGAGCUGGAUCACUACUGACGCUGAGGAACGAAAGCUAGGGGAGCAAACAGGAUUAGAUACCCUGGUAGUCCUAGCCCUAAACGAUCAGGACUUGGGGUGCCGCCCGUUCGGGCGUCGUCCCGGAGCUAACGCGUUAAGUCCUGCACCUGGGGAGUACGGUCGCAAGACUG